rnacentral:rRNA from 1 species
UAAUACGGAGGGUGCAAGCGUUAUCCGGAUUUACUGGGUUUAAAGGGUGUGUAGGCGGACUUUUAAGUCCGUGGUGAAAUCUCCGGGCUCAACCCGGAAACUGCCAUGGAUACUAUAGGUCUUGAAUAUUGUUGAGGUGGGCGGAACGGGUCAUGUAGCGGUGAAAUGCAUAGAUAUGACCCGGAACACCGAUUGCGAAGGCAGCCCACUAAGCAAUGAUUGACGCUGAGGCACGAAAGCGUGGGGAUCAAACAGGAUUAGAUACCCUGGUAGUCCACGCCCUAAACGAUGAUUACUCGACGUUGGCGAUACACCGAUCAGCGUCCAAGCGAAAGCAUUAAGUAAUCCACCUGGGAAGUACGUUCGCAAGAAUG